ACGAACGCUGGCGGCGUGCCUAAUACAUGCACGUAGAACGCACAGUUUAUACCGUAGCUUGCUACACCAUAGACUGUGAGUUGCGAACGGGUGAGUAACGCGUAGGUAACCUGCCUGGUAGCGGGGGAUAACUAUUGGAAACGAUAGCUAAUACCGCAUAAUAUUGAUUAUUGCAUGAUAAUUGAUUGAAAGAUGCUAUUGCAUCACUACCAGAUGGACCUGCGUUGUAUUAGCUAGUAGGUGAGGUAACGGCUCACCUGGGCGACGAUACAUAGCCGACCUGAGAGGGUGAUCGGCCACACUGGGACUGAGACACGGCCCAGACUCCUACGGGAGGCAGCAGUAGGGAAUCUUCGGCAAUGGACGAAAGUCUGACCGAGCAACGCCGCGUGAGUGAAGAAGGGUUUCGGAUCGUAAAGCUCUGUUGUAAGAGAAGAACGGGUGUGAGAGUGGAAAGUUCACACUGUGACGGUAUCUUACCAGAAAGGGACGGCUAACUACGUG
rnacentral:rRNA from 1 species